rnacentral:rRNA from 1 species
GAUGAACGCUGGCGGCGUGCCUAAUACAUGCGAGUCGAGCGAACAGACAAGAAGCUUGUUCUCUUGACGUUAGCGGCGGGCGGGUGAGUAACGCAUGGAUCACCUUCUUCUUAGACGGGGAUAACUUCGGAAAGACAGUUAUAAUACCGGAUAAUAUGUUGUACCGCAUGAUUCACUAGUAAAAGGCAGUUUUGCUGCUACUAUUAGAUGGUUCCGCGCGGCAUCAGCGAGUUGGUAAGGUAACGCCUCACCAAGGCAACGAUCCGUAGCCGACCGGAGAGGGUGAUCGGCCACACUGGAACUGAGACACGGUCCAGACUCCUACGGGAGGCAGCAGUGGGGAAUCUUGCGCAAUGGGCGAAAGCCUGACGGAGCAACGCCGCGUGAGUGAAGAAGGUCUUCGGAUCGUAAAACUCUUUUAUUGGGAAAGAAAAGAAGUGUAAUUAACUAUGCACGUCUUGACGGUACCUAAUCAGAAAGCCACGGCUAACUACGUG